CCAGGUUGAUUCUGCCUGACGUAGACGCUAUUCCCUAAGAUUAACCCAUGCAUGUUUUUGACAUUUGAAAAAUGGACUGCUCAGUAAUACUCACUUUAUUUUAUGUAUAUUUGAAAUCAACUACGUUAAAGUGUAGAUAAGAUGUGUACAGUAAGAGUGAGACCUAUCAGCUAGUUGUUAAGGUAAUGGCUUAACAAGGCAGUGACGGGUAACGGUAUUACUUUGUAAUAUUCCGGAGAAGGAGCCUGAGAGACGGCUACUAAGUCUAAGGAUUGCAGCAGGGGCGAAACUUGACCUAUGGAUUUUAUCUGAGGCAGUUAUGGGAAGUAAUGUUAUAUUGUUUCAUAUUGUAAAAGUAUAUGAGGUGAUUAAUUGGAGGGCAAAUCAAGUGCCAGCAGCCGCGGUAAUACUUGUUCCAAGAGUGUGUAUGAUGAUUGAUGCAGUUAAAAAGUCCGUAGUUUAUUUUUAAGAAGCAAUAUGAGGUGUACUGUAUAGUUGGGAGAAAGAUGAAAUGUGACGACCCUGACUGGACGAACA
rnacentral:rRNA from 1 species